AUUGAACGCUGGCGGCAUGCCUUACACAUGCAAGUCGAACGGCAGCACGGGAGCAAUCCUGGUGGCGAGUGGCGAACGGGUGAGUAAUAUAUCGGAACGUGCCCAGUAGUGGGGGAGUAACCCGGCGAAGUACGGACUAAUACCGCAUACGACCUACGGGUGGAAAGACGGGGAGUCGCAAGACCUCGCGCUAUCGGAGCGGCCGAUAUCAGAUUAGCUUGUUGGUGGGGUAAAGGACCUACCAAGGCGACGAUCUGUAGCUGGUCUGAGAGGACGACCAGCCACACUGGGACUGAGACACGGCCCAGACUCCUACGGGAGGCAGCAGUGGGGAAGUUUUGGACAAUGGGCGGCAAGCCUGAUCCAGCCAUGCCGCGUGCGGGAAGAAGGCCUC
rnacentral:rRNA from 1 species